rnacentral:rRNA from 1 species
UCGAGGAUCUUCGGCAAUGGGCGCAAGCCUGACCGAGCGAUGCCGCGUGUGCGAUGAAGGCCUUCGGGUUGUAAAGCACUGUCGGGGGGGAGAAAAGCCUCGCAAGAGGUCUGAUCGACCCCCGGAGGAAGCACGGGCUAAGUUCGUGCCAGCAGCCGCGGUAAGACGAACCGUGCAAACGUUGUUCGGAAUCACUGGGCUUAAAGGGCGCGUAGGCGGACCACCAAGUCAGGGGUGAAAUCCUGCGGCUCAACCGUAGAAGUGCCUUUGAUACUGGUGGUCUCGAGGGAGGUAGGGGCGUGCGGAACUUCCGGUGGAGCGGUGAAAUGCGUAGAUAUCGGAAGGAACACCGGUGGCGAAAGCGGCGCGCUGGACCUCUUCUGACGCUGAGGCGCGAAAGCCAGGGGAGCGAACGG